CCUACGUGUGGCAGCAGUGAGGAAUAUUGGUCAAUGGGAGGAAUCCUGAACCAGCCAUGCCGCGUGCAGGACGACGGCUCUACGAGUUGUAAACUGCUUUUGUACCGGGGUAAAAUGACUCACGUGUAGGGUUUUGGAAGUACGGUACGAAUAAGGAUCGGCUAACUCCGUGCCAGCAGCCGCGGUAAUACGGAGGAUCCGAGCGUUAUCCGGAUUUAUUGGGUUUAAAGGGUGGGUAGGUUGUUUUAUAAGUUAGCGGGGAAAUACUGAUGCUCAAAAUCGGGGCUGCCGCUAAUACUGCAGGACUAGAGAUCGGAUGAAGCAGGCGGAAUGUGUAGUGUAGCGGUGAAAUGCAUAGAUAUUACACAGAACACCGAUUGCGAAGGCAGCUUGCUAGGCCGGAUCUGACACUGAUGCACGAAAGCGUGGGGAUCGAACAGGAUUAGAUACCCCAGUAGUC
rnacentral:rRNA from 1 species